GAUGAACGCUGGCGGCGUGCCUAAUACAUGCAAGUCGAGCGAACAGACGAGGAGCUUGCUCCUCUUACGUUAGCGGCGGACGGGUGAGUAACACGUGGAUAACCUACCUAUAAGACUGGGAUAACUUCGGGAAACCGGAGCUAAUACCGGAUAAUAUAUUUAACCGCAUGGUUCAAUAGUGAAAGACGGUUUUGCUGUCCCUUAUAGAUGGAUCCGCGCCGAAUUACCUAGUUGGUAAGGUAACGGCUUACCAAGGCAACGAUGCGAAGCCGCCCUGAGAGGGUAAUCGGCCACACUGGAACUGAGCCACGGUCCAGAUUCCUCCGGGGGGCAGCAGAAGGGAAUCUUCCGCAAGGGGCGAAAGCCUGACGGAGCAACGCGGCGUGAUUGAGGAAGGUCUUCGGAUCGUAAAACUCUGUUAUUAGGGAAGAACAAAUGUGUAAGUAACUAUGCACGUAGUGACGGUACCUAAUCAGAAAGCCACGGCUAACUACGUG
rnacentral:rRNA from 1 species